CCUACGGGAGGCAGCAGUGGGGGAUAUUGCACAAUGGGGGAAACCCUGAUGCAGCGACGCCGCGUGGGUGAAGAAGUAUUUCGGUAUGUAAAGCCCUAUCAGCAGGGAAGAAAGAAGACGGUACCUGACUAAGAAGCCCCGGCUAACUACGUGCCAGCAGCCGCGGUAAUACGUAGGGGGCGAGCGUUAUCCGGAUUCACUGGGUGUAAAGGGAGCGUAGACGGCCGUGCAAGCCAGGAGUGAAAGCCCGGGGCCCAACCCCGGGACUGCUCUUGGAACUGUGCGGCUGGAGUGCUGGAGGGGCAGGCGGAAUUCCUGGUGUAGCGGUGAAAUGCGUAGAUAUCAGGAGGAACACCGGCGGCGAAGGCGGCCUGCUGGACCGCGACUGACGUUGAGGCUCGAAAGCGUGGGGAGCGAACAGGAUUAGAUACCCCAGUAGUC
rnacentral:rRNA from 1 species